GUGCCAGCCGCCGCGGUAAUACGGAGGGUGCAAGCGUUGUCCGGAAUCAUUGGGUGUAAAGGGUGUGCAGGCGGAAGUCUAAGUCGGAGGUGAAAUCUUGCCGCUUAACGGUAAAAGGGCCUUCGAAACUGGAUUUCUUGAGUUCGGAAGAGGUUGGUGGAAUUCGUGGUGUAGCGGUGAAAUGCAUAGAUAUCACGAAGAACACCGGUGGCGAAGGCGGCCAACUGGUCCGAUACUGACGCUGAGACACGAGAGCGUGGGGAGCGAACAGGAUUAGAAACCCGAGUAGUCC
rnacentral:rRNA from 1 species